rnacentral:rRNA from 1 species
GCCUAGAGUGGGGACAACAGCCCGAAAGGGCUGCUAAUACCGCAUGUGGAUAUUUUGUGGCAUCACUGAGAUAUCCAAAGCAGCAAUGCGCUCUAGGAUGGGCCCGCGGCCUAUCAGCUAGUUGGUGAGGUAACGGCCCACCAAGGCUUCGACGGGUAGCUGGUCUGAGAGGACGAUCAGCCGGAUUGGGACUGAGAUACGGCCCAG